UGGGGAAUAUUGCACAAUGGGCGAAAGCCUGAUGCAGCAACGCCGCGUGAGUGAUGAAGGCCUUCGGGUUGUAAAGCUCUGUCUUCUGGGACGAUAAUGACGGUACCAGAGGAGGAAGCCACGGCUAACUACGUGCCAGCAGCUGCGGUAAUACGUAGGUGGCAAGCGUUGUCCGGAUUUACUGGGCGUAAAGGAUGCGUAGGCGGAUACUUAAGUCAGAUGUGAAAAUCCCGGGCUUAACUUGGGAACUGCAUUUGAAACUGGGUAUCUAGAGUGCGGGAGAGNAAAGUGGAAUUCCUAGUGUAGCGGUGAAAUGCGUAGAGAUUAGGAAGAACACCAGUGGCGAAGGCGACUUUCUGGACCGUAACUGACGCUGAGGCAUGAAAGCGUGGGGAGCAAACA
rnacentral:rRNA from 1 species